rnacentral:ncRNA from 1 species
CGGCCUGAGGUCGGACGAGGCUACCCGCUGAAUUUAAGCAUAUUACUAAGCGGAGGAAAAGAAACUAACGAGGAUUCCCUCAGUAACGGCGAGUGAAGCGGGACGAGCCCACCGCCGAAUCCGGCCGCU